CCCAAAAAAAGAUCCGAACUGCCCCUCACUCUCCUCCACCACCACCAUCAGCGUCACCAUCAGCCCGCAGUCAGUCGCUCUGUGCGGGGUCUACAGGCGAGGAGUGUCCCCCUUACAGCUCGGGGUACCACAACAACAAGACAUGGAUUAUUCUCUGCUGGUUUUUCUUGGUUUUUGAAGAGCCGUUCUGGACUCGGGAGGACUUCUCGGAAACGGUUCAGGACUUCCUCACUUUGACUCGGAGCCGUUAGCUUCACUAAGUGUUUGAAAUCGAGCCAGUAUUCCUGCUCGUGUGUUUCCACCUCCACACAGAGAGCUUUUUAUCCCCUCCUCUGGACUUUAAUGACCUACAGUAGAUGUUCAUGUUGGUGAAUCACUCUGUAACUGACUCCAGAGUUAGCCUUCUGAAGCUAGCAGGUUUCAUUUAGCUAGCUAGCGUGGCGGCUAACUAGCAGAUCCUCACAGGCUAAAGGGAGCUAGCUCUGCGUGGAUCUGACUCGUGGUUGAGCUCCUCUCUCUCUUUCUCUCUCUCUCUGCUCGGACUGGAUUUCUAAAUAUCUGAAAGGUGUUUGAGGAGGAGAUCUUGUGUUUGUGAUUGAUGAGUCGUUAGGGAACAUUUCAGCCUUUCAGGAAGCCAGCAGCAGCAGCAGGAGGAGGAGGAGGAGGAGGAGGAGGAAGAGGAGGGUAACAUAAACAACAAGGCUGUGAAGAUUUCAUGUGCAUUUACAGCCACACACAAAGCAGACAGAGGUGGCAACUCACUGGGACACAUCCAAACCUGUCCUCUGCACAGGUUCCCCUUUUUUUUUUGUUGGGGUCCAGCUGCAACACGUGUCCUCCCUGCUGCAGACUCUUCAUCCUCUUCAUCCUCUUUUAGGAUAUUUGCACAGAAUCCCUCCUUUGCAUACAAAACAGCUCAACAAGGUGUUCCUCUCCUGUUCCCCUUCAGCUCAGUGCAAAGACACUGAAGCGCAUACAUGCAGCUCUGCAGGAAGAGACCAGCUCGGACAGACUUCCACUGAGAGAGACCUGUAGGAUUUGACAGCUGCCUCCAGAAAUCCAGCAUCUGGGUCAGAUCACAUUACAAAGCCUGUGUUCUGCUCUGCUCUGCUGUGUGUGUUUUCCUCACAACACGCCCUGCAUGGAGGAACCUGCGUUUUUGCACUAAAUGGGAUUACAACGGUGGAGCUCCAGCGGCCCUGCAUGGUGACUGAGUGUUCUCUCUGCACCCUGAUGUCCCCCCUCCUGAGUCUGCUGGUUUCUGUCACCAUGAUGGUAGUUUGAGGAGCAAGCCAGAGACCACAACCACACAGACCCCCCCCUCCCAGUCGAUGGUCAGCCCCCCUCCCAGGUCCUCUCAGCUGGCCUCCUGUCACACACCUGCACCCCUUCAUGUGGAGGACUCUGUGUUUUUUUUUAUAACCCCCUGAUCCAGAACCCAGAAUUGAUUUGCUCAUCCCAGGGUCGAAAGAUGGCGGACCUCGAAGCAGUGCUCGCAGAUGUGAGUUAUUUGAUGGCGAUGGAGAAGAGCAAAUCCACUCCAGCAGCCAGGGCGAGCAAGAAAAUCAUCCUCCCCGAGCCCAGAAGCUGUGCAGCCAUGUAGGGAGAUGGAGGCGUGCUUCCUCCCCAGACCUGUGACCGACUGAGGAUGUUUCACAGAGAGAAUAGGGCUGUGGAGCUUUCUGCAAAACAUGAAGAGGCUUUCACAGCACAAAAAACACUCAUGCACUGACUCCAAUAACACCUGCAAGAUGACAAGAUCAUUUCAUGCAGCUGCUUGCAUGAUACUGUCAUUAUUUUCAAGUCUGAAUGGAGUUAUUUUUCCACCAUUAAAUGAUUCCUCUCCAUUUGCUCCUGCCUCACUGACAGCCUGGUAAUAAACGUGCUUCAUGUUGCACAAACAGCUUGUUUAUUGGAGCUGUCAGUGGUGGUAGAGAAAUACGACUGUGGCGCUUUCAGGGAACAUGCAGCCGCUCAGUGGUUUGACAUUAUCACCAAAAACAGCCAUGCAGCUCAUUAAUUCAUCACCUGAGAGAAGUUAACACACGAGCUGAGAGCUGCAGACUCUUCCUCAUUAUUAAAAUCUGCAACACACCCUCAGCGACAGGGACACCAUUGUCAUGUUGCAUGGUGUGAACACUGCAGAUCAGGACGAGUAGGCCAUCAUAUUUUAAUAAUACACCCCUCCACCUUCUCCUCCCAAACAUCCCCUCAUGAUUUCACAUCCUUUUGUCCCCGCUGAGCCGCUCACCAGGCCUGUGAACGAGACCCGGUCUCAGACAUGUAGCGUGCCGCUUUAAUGGAAGAGGAUGUGGUCGCAAUUUGUGUAUUGAGAUAGUUGCUUUUUCAAAACCAGGGUUUUAUAAAUGUCACAGUUUGUGUUUAGUCAAAUGAAAACCACUCUCUCUGUGUGUGUGUGUGUGUGAGAGGUGUCUGUGUGUAGUUAGGGUAUGUUUGUUUUCACCAUGUUUACAGAUAUGACUCUUGUACUCUGUGUUUAUUAAUCACAAACUGUUUCUGACACACCCACUCAUGUGUAGAAAAAAGGCUCCACAAGUGUGGAUGUGGGUUAAAACAGCCGUUAUAUUCUAAACCGGAGCGAUUUCAGAGGAGGUCAGCGAUUCAUUCACUCGCCGGCUUGUCUUGGCAGAUCAGCAGAAAGCAGUGAUCCGCACAGUGUGCUGCACACAGUAAUGAAUUUGAAGCCUGUUGAUUGUUCCAUGUAAGAUGAUUGAAUAAGGGACAUUAUGUAAUAGCCCUACAUUGAUUCCCAUUCUUAUGUUAGAGUUAAACAUGAUGUGAAAUCAA